rnacentral:rRNA from 1 species
UACAGAGGGUGCAAGCGUUAAUCGGAAUUACUGGGCGUAAAGCGUGCGUAGACGGUUAUGUAAGUCGGGUGUGAAAGCCCCGGGCUCAACCUGGGAAUGCCAUUCGAGACUGCAUAGCUAGGGUGCGGAAGAGGGAAGCGGAAUUUCCGGUGUAGCGGUGAAAUGCGUAGAUAUUGGGAGGAACACCGGUGGCGAAGGCGGGUCUCUGGGCAGUAACUGACGCUGAGGAGCGAAAGCGUGGGGAGCGAACAGG